rnacentral:rRNA from 1 species
UACGAAGGGGGCUAGCGUUGUUCGGAAUCACUGGGCGUAAAGCGCACGUAGGCGGGUCUCUAAGUCCGGGGUGAAAUCCUGGAGCUCAACUCCAGAACUGCCUUUGAUACUGGGGAUCUCGAGUCCGGGAGAGGUGAGUGGAACUCCGAGUGUAGAGGUGAAAUUCGUAGAUAUUCGGAAGAACACCAGUGGCGAAGGCGGCUCACUGGCCCGGUACUGACGCUGAGGUGCGAAAGCGUGGGGAGCAAACAGG